rnacentral:rRNA from 1 species
UACGUAGGGUGCAAGCGUUGUCCGGAAUUAUUGGGCGUAAAGCGCUCGUAGGCGGUUUGUCGCGUCGAAUGUGAAAACCCGGGGCUCAACCCCGGGCCUGCAUUCGAUACGGGCAGACUAGAGUUCGGUAGGGGAGUCUGGAAUUCCUGGUGUAGCGGUGAAAUGCGCAGAUAUCAGGAGGAACACCGGUGGCGAAGGCGGGACUCUGGGCCGAUACUGACGCUGAGGAGCGAAAGCGUGGGGAGCAAACAGG